UACAGAGGUCCCAAGCGUUGUUCGGAUUCACUGGGCGUAAAGGGUGCGUAGGUGGUAGGGUAAGUCUGCCGUGAAAUCUCCGGGCCCAACCCGGAAACUGCGGUGGAUACUAUCCUGCUCGAGGGUUGGAAGGGGGACUGGAAUUCUCGGUGUAGCAGUGAAAUGCGCAGAUAUCGAGAGGAACACCAGUGGCGAAGGCGAGUCCCUGGACAACUCCUGACGCUGAGGCACGAAAGCUAGGGGAU
rnacentral:rRNA from 1 species